rnacentral:sRNA from 1 species
UUUAGCAUCAAAUCAAAAGCCAUCAUAUUUUCUAGAAAUGAGAGACCCCAGGAAAGUGGACCUCAGGGCCCUCAGAAUUCUUCUUCUUGGCCCCCUUGAGUGGCCAGCUUGGGUGGGAGGCCACUCCAGUGGGUCUCAUUCUGCAGCAUGCUGGAGAGCUUCCACUUCCAAACCCAAGUUCAUACAUGCUUCUGUCUCCUUCCUGCCACCUUGCUCCUCUGAGCAUGGUCUCCGGUUGUCCAAGGCACUGCCUGUCCUGGGAGUCACCUAUAUGUGAGGCACCCUUGGUGCCUUGAGAUAUCAUGUAGAAGCCUUGGUUCUUCUCAGGCAACUCGAUUCAUGCAAACUCUCCCCCUCCUCCUAGCCUGGGUCCCAGGCUUUGUUUUUAUGGAUCCAUAAUGUCUGCCUGGGUGGACAGCAGCUUGGGCCCUGGUGCAGAAUAGCUCCUAGGUCCCUUCUUCAGGCUCCUACCCCUGCCCCUGCUCCUACCCCCAGGUGAAUUAGGAGCCCUGAGGAGGAGCCUGGCUGCAGCGAGGCCCACACACUGAGAGUAGCCGAGCUCCUUCUGUCCCUAGCCUGGGACAGCUGGGGCAUGUAGAGCCACAGAGCAGAGUCAGGCCCUGCCCUGCUCACAGCCCAAGGAGAGAGCAGACAUGGAAACAGGUGCUUUGAACCCAGCACAGCGAUGAUGAGAGUAGGGGAGAGGAUUGAGAAGGGUCAGGCCAGCCCCACCUGGUGCACACUGAGAGGGUGGUCCCAGAGGAGGGACAUUGUUUGAGCAGGCUCUGAAGGACCAUGAGGAGUCUUCCUGAUAGACAGCAGAGAAGGAAUCAGGGGUUACAAGCAAAGGGAGUGUUUCUUCUGAAUACUGUUUGUGUGAUAGCUCCACUGCAGCAUGGAGGGGUCAAAGUGUAUGUGCGGGGCAGAGGGGAGAUGGCAGGGUCGGAGUGGCAGCCAGGAGAAGAGUCACACUUUCCCAAGCUCCCUCCCCAGCUCACCCUACCCCUACUCUGCUUAGCCCUUCUGAACUUCUGAGAGGUGCAACAGAGUUUGGGGGUGGGUGGGAAUUUCCUAGCCAGAAGUGGGAAGCUGGGGCUGCCUGCACAUAGGGGUAUUCCAGCACACCCUAGGGCAAGCUCAUAUUGAGUUGGCACCAUCUGGAUGCCUGGGCUUCCCCUGCUAGAUGGUGGGGCAGGGGUGCUCCUUAGAACCACGACUGGAUCUGAGGCCUCUUGGUAACCCCAGAAGCAAGCAGAGUAGACAUCAGUCAUGGGUGUGGGAGAGGCAGGAGGGAGAGAGGAAUGGAGGAAGCAAAGAAGGGAAGGAGGGAGGGAGGGGAGGCUCUAAAACUGUCAUCCCUAUUCCAAUAUCCAAUCUUGAAUUGGCCUCAACACCUGUGCAUCCCUGCAGGGGUGGACCCAGUCCCCAGCUCCUUCCCAGGGAGUACGGGGGUGGGGUGGGGAUUCUCUGGCUUUCCUCCCUGCCCCUCCUCUGCAGGCUGAUGCUGGGCUUCAUGGGCGUCACAGCCCUCCUGUCCAUGUGGAUCAGUAACACGGCAACCACGGCCAUGAUGGUGCCCAUCGUGGAGGCCAUAUUGCAGCAGAUGGAAGCCACAAGCGCAGCCACCGAGGCCGGCCUGGAGCUGGUGGACAAGGGCAAGGCCAAGGAGCUGCCAGGGAGCCAAGUGAUUUUUGAAGGCCCCACUCUGGGGCAGCAGGAGGACCAAGAGCGGAAGAGGUUGUGUAAGGCCAUGACCCUGUGCAUCUGCUACGCGGCCAGCAUCGGGGGCACCGCCACCCUGACCGGGACAGGACCCAACGUGGUGCUCCUGGGCCAGAUGAACGAGUUGUUUCCUGACAGCAAGGACCUCGUGAACUUUGCCUCCUGGUUUGCAUUUGCCUUUCCCAACAUGCUGGUGAUGCUGGUGUUCGCCUGGCUGUGGCUCCAGUUUGUUUACAUGAGAUUCAAUUUUAAAAAGUCCUGGGGCUGCGGGCUAGAGAGCAAGAAAAACGAGAAGGCUGUCCUCAAGGUGCUGCAGGAGGAGUACCGGAAGCUGGGGCCCUUGUCCUUCGCGGAGAUCAACGUGCUGAUCUGCUUCUUCCUGCUGGUCAUCCUGUGGUUCUCCCGAGACCCCGGCUUCAUGCCCGGCUGGCUGACUGUCGCCUGGGUGGAGGGUGAGACAAAGUAAGUCUUGGAUUCAAUAGAAAUCGCUGGCUUAGGGCCAGGCGCGUUGGCUCACACAUGUAAUCCCAGCACUUUGGGAGGCUGAAGUGGGUGGGUCACUUGAGGUCAGGAGAUCGAGACCAUCCUGGCCAACAUGGUGAAACCCUGUCUCUACUAAAAAUACAAAAAAUUAGCGAGGCGUGGUGGCACAUGCCUGUAGUCCCAGCUACUUGGGAGGCUGAGGCAGGAGAAUCACUUGAACCCAGGAGGCAGAGGUUGCAGUGAGCCCAGAUCGUGCCACUGCACUCCAGCCUGGGCAACAGAGAGAGACUCCGUCUC